UGGGGAAUUUUGGACAAUGGGCGAAAGCCUGAUCCAGCAAUGCCGCGUGCAGGACGAAGGCCUUCGGGUUGUAAACUGCUUUUGUACGGAACGAAACGGUCUCUUCUAAUAAAGGGGGCUAAUGACGGUACCGUAAGAAUAAGCACCGGCUAACUACGUGCCAGCAGCCGCGGUAAUACGUAGGGUGCGAGCGUUAAUCGGAAUUACUGGGCGUAAAGCGUGCGCAGGCGGUUAUAUAAGACAGAUGUGAAAUCCCCGGGCUCAACCUGGGACCUGCAUUUGUGACUGUAUAGCUAGAGUACGGUAGAGGGGGAUGGAAUUCCGCGUGUAGCAGUGAAAUGCGUAGAUAUGCGGAGGAACACCGAUGGCGAAGGCAAUCCCCUGGACCUGUACUGACGCUCAUGCACGAAAGCGUGGGGAGCAAACAGG
rnacentral:rRNA from 1 species